GACGAACGCUGGCGGCGUGCCUAAUACAUGCAAGUCGAACGCAGUGGGGACGGGUGAGUAACACGUGGGUAACCUCCCAUCAGAGGGGAUAACACUUGGAAACAGGUGCUAAACCGAUACUGAUGGAUGGACCCGCGGGGCAUUAGCUAGUUGGUGAGGUAACGGUUCACCAAGGCCACGAUGCAUAGACGACCGGAGAGGGUGGUCGGCCACACGGGGACUGAGACACGGCACAGGCGCCUGCGGGAGGCAGCAGUAGGGAAUCGUCGGCAAUGGACGAAAGUCUUACCGAGCAGCGCGGCGUGAGUGAAGAAGUUUUUCGGAUCGUAAAACUCUGUUGUUAGUGAAGCGGUAUCUAACCAGAAAGCCACGGCUAACUACGUGCCAGCCGCCGCGGUAAUAC
rnacentral:rRNA from 1 species